rnacentral:tRNA from 2 species
GGCCUAAUAUUUUAAAUUAAAAAGCUUGAUUUGCGUUCAAGUAACAGGUAAUAUUAUAUUCCUUUAGGCUA